rnacentral:rRNA from 1 species
UGGGGAAUAUUGCACAAUGGGCGCAAGCCUGAUGCAGCCAUGCCGCGUGUAUGAAGAAGGCCUUCGGGUUGUAAAGUACUUUCAGCGGGGAGGAAGGUGUUGUGGUUAAUAACCGCAGCAAUUGACGUUACCCGCAGAAGAAGCACCGGCUAACUCCGUGCCAGCAGCCGCGGUAAUACGGAGGGUGCAAGCGUUAAUCGGAAUUACUGGGCGUAAAGCGCACGCAGGCGGUCUGUCAAGUCGGAUGUGAAAUCCCCGGGCUCAACCUGGGAACUGCAUUCGAAACUGGCAGGCUGGAGUCUUGUAGAGGGGGGUAGAAUUCCAGGUGUAGCGGUGAAAUGCGUAGAGAUCUGGAGGAAUACCGGUGGCGAAGG